rnacentral:rRNA from 1 species
GACGAACGCUGGCGGCGUGCUUAACACAUGCAAGUCGAGCGGUAAGGCCCUUCGGGGUACACGAGCGGCGAACGGGUGAGUAACACGUGGGUAACCUGCCCUGUACUCUGGGAUAAGCCUUGGAAACGAGGUCUAAUACCGGAUACGACCUGGAAUCGCAUGAUUCUGGGUGGAAAGUUCCGGCGGUAUGGGAUGGACCCGCGGCCUAUCAGCUUGUUGGUGGGGUAAUGGCCUACCAAGGCGACGACGGGUAGCCGGCCUGAGAGGGUGACCGGCCACACUGGGACUGAGACACGGCCCAGACUCCUACGGGAGGCAGCAGUGGGGAAUAUUGCACAAUGGGCGAAAGCCUGAUGCAGCGACGCCGCGUGAGGGAUGACGGCCUUCGGGUUGUAAACCUCUUUCAGCAGGGACGAAGCGCAAGUGACGGUACCUGCAGAAGAAGCACCGGCUAACUACGUG